GGGGAAUAUUGGACAAUGGGCGAAAGCCUGAUCCAGCCAUGCCGCGUGAGUGAUGAAGGCCCUAGGGUUGUAAAGCUCUUUCACCGGUGAAGAUAAUGACGGUAGCCGGAGAAGAAGCCCCGGCUAACUUCGUGCCAGCAGCCGCGGUAAUACGAAGGGGGCUAGCGUUGUUCGGAAUUACUGGGCGUAAAGCGCACGUAGGCGGAUUGUUUAGUGAGGGGUGAAAUCCCAGGGCUCAACCCUGGAACUGCCUCUUAUACUGGCAAUCUCGAGUCCGAGAGAGGUGAGUGGAAUUCCGAGUGUAGAGGUGAAAUUCGUAGAUAUUCGGAGGAACACCAGUGGCGAAGGCGGCUCACUGGCUCGGUACUGACGCUGAGGUGCGAAAGCGUGGGGAGCAAAC
rnacentral:rRNA from 1 species